GCCCGUAUAGCUCAGUGGUAGAGCGCAUCACUCGUACUCCUUAUUACUCGACAUGAUGAGGUCCGCUGUUCGAUCCAGCGUGCGGGCA
rnacentral:tRNA from 1 species